rnacentral:rRNA from 1 species
ACACGUAGGGGGCGAGCGUUGUCCGGAAUGAUUGGGCGUAAAGGGCGCGUAGGCGGCCCGGUAAGUCUGGAGUGAAAGUCCUGUUUUUAAGAUGGGAAUUGCUUUGGAUACUGUCGGGCUUGAGUGCAGGAGAGGUAAGUGGAAUUCCCAGUGUAGCGGUGAAAUGCGUAGAGAUUGGGAGGAACACCAGUGGCGAAGGCGACUUACUGGACUGUAACUGACGCUGAGGCGCGAAAGUGUGGGGAGCAAACAGGAUUAGAUACCCUGGUAGUCCACACUGUAAACGAUGAAUGCUAGGUGUAGGGGGUAUCGACCCCUUCUGUGCCGCAGUCAACACAAUAAGCAUUCCGCCUGGGGAGUACGGCCGCAAGGUUGAAACUCAAAUGAAUUGACGGGG